CCUACGGGUGGCAGCAGUGAGGAAUAUUGGUCAAUGGACGAGAGUCUGAACCAGCCAAGUAGCGUGAAGGAUGACUGCCCUAUGGGUUGUAAACUUCUUUUAUAUGGGAAUAAAAUGUUCCACGUGUGGGAUUUUGUAUGUACCAUAUGAAUAAGGAUCGGCUAACUCCGUGCCAGCAGCCGCGGUAAUACGGAGGAUCCGAGCGUUAUCCGGAUUUAUUGGGUUUAAAGGGAGCGUAGGUGGGUUGUUAAGUCAGUUGUGAAAGUUUGCGGCUCAACCGUAAAAUUGCAGUUGAAACUGGCAGUCUUGAGUACAGUAGAGGGGGGCGGAAUUCGUGGUGUAGCGGUGAAAUGCGUAGAUAUCACGAAGAACUCCGGUUGCGAAGGCAGUUCACUGGACUGUAACUGACACUGAGGCUCGAAAGUGUGGGUAUCAAACAGGAUUAGAUACCCCUGUAGUC
rnacentral:rRNA from 1 species